rnacentral:rRNA from 1 species
UCGAGAAUCAUUCGCAAUGGGCGAAAGCCUGACGAUGCGACGCCGUGUGAGCGAAGAAGGCCUUAGGGUCGUAAAGCUCUUUCGCCUGUGAACAAGAGAGGCUGACUAACACUCAGCUAAUUUGAGGGUAGCAGGUAAAGAAGCACCGGCUAACUCCGUGCCAGCAGCUGCGGUAAUACGGAGGGUGCAAGCAUUAAUCGGAUUUAUUGGGCGUAAAGGGCGCGUAGGCGGGAAUAAAAGUCAGAUGUGAAAUCCCGGGGCUUAACCUCGGAACUGCAUUUGAAACUCUAUUUCUUGAGGGUAGGCGGAGAAAACGGAAUUCCACAAGUAGCGGUGAAAUGCGUAGAUAUGUGGAAGAACACCGGUGGCGAAGGCGGUUUUCUAGCUUAUUCCUGACGCUAAUGCGCGAAAGCAAGGGGAUCAAACAGGAUUAGAUACCCGCGUAGUCC